GAUGAACGCUAGCGGCAGGCUUAAUACAUGCAAGUCGAGGGGUAACAUGGGGUAGCAAUACUCUGAUGACGACCGGCAAACGGGUGCGGAACACGUACGCAACUUUCCCAAAACUGGUGAAUAGCCCUCCGAAAGGAGGAUUAAUACACCGUAACAUAACGAGGUGGCAUCAUCUUGUUAUUAUAGCUCCGGCGGUUUUGGAUGGGCGUGCGCCUGAUUAGGUAGUUGGCGGGGUAACGGCCCACCAAGGCGAUGAUGGGUAGCCGGCCUGAGAGGGUGAACGGCCACAUUGGGACUGAGACACGGCCCAGACUCCUACGGGGGGCAGCAGUGAGGGAUUUUCGGCAAUGGGCGAAAGCCUGACCGAGCGACGCCGCGUGAGCGAAGAAGGCCUUCGGUUGUAAGCUCUUUCGGUCAGGAACGAAAGGACGUCUCUCUAACAUAGGGGUCGAAUGACGGUACCUGAAGAAGAAGACACCGGCUAACUACGUGCCAGCAGCCGCGGUAAUUGA
rnacentral:rRNA from 1 species